UUGUAGCGGGUAUAGUUUAGUGGUAAAAGUG
rnacentral:tRNA from 14 species